rnacentral:misc_RNA from 1 species
GAAAUGCGAUAAGUAGUGUGAAUUGCAGAAUUCAGUGAAUCAUCGAAUCUUUGAACGCACAUUGCGCCUCCUGGUACUCCGGGAGGCAUGCCUGUUCGAGCGUCAUUAAAAAACCACUCAAGCCAUUUGCGCUUGGUAUUGGGAGAGGAGCGCGCCCGUCGCCCUCCCUUCCGAAAUCCAAUGGCGGAAAGCCCCACGUGCCCCGGCGUAGUAAGUUCUCUUUCGUCAGGAACGUGAGGCGAUCCUGCCCUCAACCCCCAAUCAUAAUCUCAGGUUGACCUCGGAUCAGGUAGGGAUACCCGCUGAACUUAA